GACAGCAACAGACGACACAGAGAAAGUGAUGGAGAGAGACAGAAGAAUAGAGUUCCAGACAGUUGUAGAAUGUAUGCCAAGACACAUUGUAAGAGCUAUAAAGAGAGAGGGAGAGAGAACAGGCAGAACCUGAUAUGUAAAUGAGCAGAGCAAAUGAAAGCAACUUUUGACGACCUGAUGAUCAUCCAGACUGUGUUUCUAUUGAGAGAUAAAAGGCUGGUUGAAUGAGUUGCCUAUGAAAGCUACUUCAUCUGUAAGAAAACAGGCGUCUGCACCAGUGACUGGGUCAGUGCUCUAAAAUGAGUCUCUCUGGGGAGAGAGAGGAGGGGGUCCCUGCCUCUAAAAUGAGUCUCUCUGGGGAGAGAGAGGAGGGGGGCCCUGCCUCUAAAAUGAGUCUCUCUGGGGAGAGAGAGGAGGGGGGCCCUGCCUCCAAAAUGAGUCUCUCUGGGGAGAGAGAGGAGGGUGGCCCUGCCUCUAAAAUGAGUCUCUCUGGGGAACAUGACACCAAAGCUAAGAGCCCAAUCAAGCAGGAGAGACCAGCCUCCCCUGUUCCCAGCUGUGUGUCCAUGAAGAGUUACCGGUCUAUGGAACAUCCGAUAGAGUUUAGAGAGGGAGACUUUUCUACUGAACAAAGGUAAGAAGAACUCAUGGGUCCUGGUCAGUGAGUUAAACAACACUGUCUCUAGUCAUUUCUCCUCCCAUUUUCCCAUUUAUUGUUGUUGUUUUCAUAAUCCAUAGGCUAAUCCUUUUGUCCAUUUUCAUAGUCCUAAAACAAUAUUAAACAAACACAACAUUCCCUCCCUGUGUGUGUGUGUGUGUGUGUGUGUGUGUGUGUGUGUGUGUGUGUGUGUGUGUGUGUGUGUGUG